GUCCUUCCGGGGAGGCAGCAGUGGGGAAUAUUGGACAAUGGGCGCAAGCCUGAUCCAGCCAUACCGCGUGGGUGAAGAAGGCCUUCGGGUUGUAAAGCCCUUUUGUUGGGAAAGAAAUCCAGCUGGUUAAUACCCGGUUGGGAUGACGGUACCCAAAGAAUAAGCACCGGCUAACUUCGUGCCAGCAGCCGCGGUAAUACGAAGGGUGCAAGCGUUACUCGGAAUUACUGGGCGUAAAGCGUGCGUAGGUGGUCGUUUAAGUCCGUUGUGAAAGCCCUGGGCUCAACCUGGGAACUGCAGUGGAUACUGGGCGACUAGAGUGUGGUAGAGGGUAGCGGAAUUCCUGGUGUAGCAGUGAAAUGCGUAGAGAUCAGGAGGAACAUCCAUGGCGAAGGCAGCUACCUGGACCAACACUGACACUGAGGCACGAAAGCGUGGGGAGCAAACAGGAUUAGAUACCCUGGUAGUCCACGCCCUAAACGAUGCGAACUGGAUGUUGGGUGCAAUUUGGCACGCAGUAUCGAACGCUAACGCGUAGAGUUUCGC
rnacentral:rRNA from 1 species